GGCCACAUAGCCUAGUGGUUGAAGGCAGCACAUCUAGUGUUGUGUGAUAGCUUACAUGCUGAGGUCCUGGGUUCAAAUUCCAGUCUGGUCA